CCUACGGGUCGCAGCAGUGGGGAAUAUUGCACAAUGGGCGCAAGCCUGAUGCAGCCAUGCCGCGUGUAUGAAGAAGGCCUUCGGGUUGUAAAGUACUUUCAGCGGGGAGGAAGGUGUUGUGGUUAAUAACCGCAGCAGUUGACGUUACCCGCAGAGGAACCACCGGCUAACUCCGUGCCAGCAGCCGCGGUAAUACGGAGGUUGCAAGCGUUAAUCGGAAUUACUGGGCGUAAAGCGCACGCAGGCGGGCUGUCAAGUCGGAUGUGAAAUCCGCGGGCUCAACCUGGGAACUGCAUUCGAAACUGGCAGGCUAGAGACUUGUAGAGGGGGGUAGAAUUCCAGGUGUAGCGGUGAAAUGCGUAGAGAUCUGGAGGAAUACCGGUGGCGAAGGCGGCCCCCUGGACAAAGACUGACGCUCAGGUGCGAAAGCGUGGGGAGCAAACAGGAUUAGAUACCCCGGUAGUC
rnacentral:rRNA from 1 species